ACGCGAAGAACCUUACCUACUCUUGACAUCCAGAGAACUUAGCAGAGAUGCUUUGGUGCCUUCGGGAACUCUGAGACAGGUGCUGCAUGGCUGUCGUCAGCUCGUGUUGUGAAAUGUUGGGUUAAGUCCCGCAACGAGCGCAACCCUUAUCCUUUGUUGCCAGCGGUCCGGCCGGGAACUCAAAGGAGACUGCCAGUGAUAAACUGGAGGAAGGUGGGGAUGACGUCAAGUCAUCAUGGCCCUUACGAGUAGGGCUACACACGUGCUACAAUGGCGCAUACAAAGAGAAGCGAACUCGCGAGAGCAAGCGGACCUCAUAAAGUGCGUCGUAGUCCGGAUUGGAGUCUGCAACUCGACUCCAUGAAGUCGGAAUCG
rnacentral:rRNA from 1 species